UUAAAUUGAAGAGUUUGAUCAUGGCUCAGAUUGAACGCUGGCGGCAGGCCUAACACAUGCAAGUCGAACGGUAACAGGAAGCAGCUUGCUGCUUUGCUGACGAGUGGCGGACGGGUGAGUAAUGUCUGGGAAACUGCCUGAUGGAGGGGGGAUAACUACUGGAAACGGUGGCUAAUACCGCAUAACGUCGCAAGACCAAAGAGGGGGACCUUCGGGCCUCUUGCCAUCAGAUGUGCCCAGAUGGGAUUAGCUUGUUGGUGAGGUAACGGCUCACCAAGGCGACGAUCCCUAGCUGGUCUGAGAGGAUGACCAGCCACACUGGAACUGAGACACGGUCCAGACUCCUACGGGAGGCAGCAGUGGGGAAUAUUGCACAAUGGGCGCAAGCCUGAUGCAGCCAUGCCGCGUGUAUGAAGAAGGCCUUCGGGUUGUAAAGUACUUUCAGCGGGGAGGAAGGUGUUGUGGUUAAUAACCGCAGCAAUUGACGUUACCCGCAGAAGAAGCACCGGCUAACUCCGUGCCAGCAGCCGCGGUAAUACGGAGGGUGCAAGCGUUAAUCGGAAUUACUGGGCGUAAAGCGCACGCAGGCGGUCUGUCAAGUCGGAUGUGAAAUCCCCGGGCUCAACCUGGGAACUGCAUUCGAAACUGGCAGGCUUGAGUCUUGUAGAGGGGGGUAGAAUUCCAGGUGUAGCGGUGAAAUGCGUAGAGAUCUGGAGGAAUACCGGUGGCGAAGGCGGCCCCCUGGACAAAGACUGACGCUCAGGUGCGAAAGCGUGGGGAGCAAACAGGAUUAGAUACCCUGGUAGUCCACGCCGUAAACGAUGUCUACUUGGAGGUUGUGCCCUUGAGGCGUGGCUUCCGGAGCUAACGCGUUAAGUAGACCGCCUGGGGAGUACGGCCGCAAGGUUAAAACUCAAAUGAAUUGACGGGGGCCCGCACAAGCGGUGGAGCAUGUGGUUUAAUUCGAUGCAACGCGAAGAACCUUACCUGGUCUUGACAUCCACGGAAGUUUUCAGAGAUGAGAAUGUGCCUUCGGGAACCGUGAGACAGGUGCUGCAUGGCUGUCGUCAGCUCGUGUUGUGAAAUGUUGGGUUAAGUCCCGCAACGAGCGCAACCCUUAUCCUUUGUUGCCAGCGAUUAGGUCGGGAACUCAAAGGAGACUGCCAGUGAUAAACUGGAGGAAGGUGGGGAUGACGUCAAGUCAUCAUGGCCCUUACGACCAGGGCUACACACGUGCUACAAUGGCGCAUACAAAGAGAAGCGACCUCGCGAGAGCAAGCGGACCUCAUAAAGUGCGUCGUAGUCCGGAUUGGAGUCUGCAACUCGACUCCAUGAAGUCGGAAUCGCUAGUAAUCGUGGAUCAGAAUGCCACGGUGAAUACGUUCCCGGGCCUUGUACACACCGCCCGUCACACCAUGGGAGUGGGUUGCAAAAGAAGUAGGUAGCUUAACCUUCGGGAGGGCGCUUACCACUUUGUGAUUCAUGACUGGGGUGAAGUCGUAACAAGGUAACCGUAGGGGAACCUGCGGUUGGAUCACCUCCUUACCUUAAAGAAGC
rnacentral:rRNA from 1 species